UAAUACAGAGGUGUCAAACGUUGUCCGGAAUUAUUGGGCGUAAAGGGCGCGUAGGCGGCCGGGUAAGUGAGAUGUGAAAGCUCUGGGCUCAACCCAGGAAUUGCAUUUCAUACUGCUCGGCUAGAGAUUGGUAGAGGAUGGCGGAAUUCCAGGUGUAGCGGUGAAAUGCGUAGAUAUCUGGAGGAACACCUGUGGCGAAGGCGGCUAUCUGGUCCAAUUCUGACGCUGAGGCGCGAAAGGUAGGGGAGCAAACAGGAUUAGAUACCCUGGUAGUCCUACCCGUAAACGAUGAGUACUAGGUGUUGGAGGUAUUGACCCCUUCAGUGCCGUAGCUAACGCAAUAAGUACUCCGCCUGGGAACUACGGUCGCAAGACUG
rnacentral:rRNA from 1 species